AACUUCCCACGCUGGAGGAAUGGCAGAUGAAACUUAUGGACUAUAUGGAAUUGGCGGAAAUGACUGGCAGAAUCCGUGACCAGGGAGAAGAGUCGAUGGAGGAAGACUGGAAGAAAUUCAAAGACUAUCUUCAGAAACACUGCAAAAUUAAGGAAUGUUAGAGUGAUGUUGGAUUGAAAAUAAGUGGUUUCCAGCUGUACAGGUUAAAGUUAAGGAUAGAUUAAGAUUAAAGAUUAAGAUUAAAGAUGUUUAAAGAAAUGGAAAUUUGAUAAUAAAAGGGAAAAAUUUAAAGCUAUAUGACAUUAAGAGCAAGGAUUAGGUUUAAAAAGUUGAAGUUAUAUAUUUUAACAUUUUAUUAAAUUAAAGAUUGGGAUUAAAAAAGUGGAAAAGAAACUGCUGGACAAAUAAUGUGGAUUGGAAUACAAAAGAGGGAGGUAUGAGGAAGUCCAGAAAAUAAGUAAUUUAAAAUUGGGAAUGGAAAAGAGAGUUUGUUUUUAAUUGUUAUGUUUUGUGUUUUUAUUGUUAAGUUUUGUAUUGUUUUUUGUGUGUGUUGUUUUUCUUUUUUCUUUGUUUAAAACCUUAAUAAAAAAUUAUUU
rnacentral:lncRNA from 1 species